AGUGAACGCUGGCGGUAGGCCUAACACAUGCAAGUCGAACGGCAGCACAGUAAGAGCUUGCUCUUACGGGUGGCGAGUGGCGGACGGGUGAGGAAUACAUCGGAAUCUACUUUUUCGUGGGGGAUAACGUAGGGAAACUUACGCUAAUACCGCAUACGACCUACGGGUGAAAGCAGGGGAUCUUCGGACCUUGCGCGAUUGAAUGAGCCGAUGUCGGAUUAGCUAGUUGGCGGGGUAAAGGCCCACCAAGGCGACGAUCCGUAGCUGGUCUGAGAGGAUGAUCAGCGACACUGGAACUGAGACACGGUCCAGACUCCUACGAGAGGCAGCAGUGGGGAAUAUUGGACAAUGGGCGCAAGCCUGAUCCAGCCAUACCGCGUGGGUGAAGAAGGCCUUCGGGUUGUAAAGCCCUUUUGUUGGGAAAGAAAAGCAGCAGGUUAAUACCCCGCUGUUCUGACGGUACCCAAAGAAGAAGCACCGGCUAACUUCGUG
rnacentral:rRNA from 1 species